GCCGGGCGCGGUGGCGCGUGCCUAUAGUCCCAGCUACUCGGGAGGCUGAGGUGGGAGGAUUGCUUGAGCCCAAGAGUUCUGGGCUGCAGUGCACUAUGCUGAUCGGAUGUACACACUAAGUUCAGCAUCAGUAUGGUGACCUCCCAGGAGCGGGGGACCACCAGGUUGCCUAAGGAGGGGUGAACUGGCUCAGGUCGGAAAUGGAGCAGGUCAAAACUCCAGUGCUGAUCAGUAGUGGGAUCGCACCUGUGAAUAGCCACUGCACUCCAGCCUGGGCAACAUAGUGAGACCCCGGCCUU
rnacentral:SRP_RNA from 1 species